AUGGCUAUUUUGCAAAACAAACCUCAUAAUCUUAAAACCAAUACAAACAGGUUCCUCACUCCAUCUUCUUCCUCCGCCCCUCGACCGCGUGUCGCCUGGGGCCGGCGCCCCCCAGCUGCGAAAUUCGCCGCCGCAUCCAAGGACCUGCUCCGCCUCAGCCGUCCAGGAACUGCUCCACCGCCGCCGCCUAGGAACUGCACCGUUGAGAUCCCCUCCCGUCGCGAUCCCCUACGCGUCGCCGCCACCCAGGACCUUCAUCUGCCCAUCGUCCGUGUGUCAUCGGAACCUCCUGCCACGAUCCGGUGGACCAGGAGGUCCCACGCGCGCCUGGGUGGAGCUGGCGGAGCUUUGCCCGUGCUACCGCUCCUCCACUGCGCGUGCUCUGACCUGGACCUCGGUGGAGCUCUGCUUCUCCACUCCUGCUUCUCCCCUGCCGCCGGUGGAGCUCUGGACGUUCUGGUGCUGCUCCUCUGCCCAUGCCUGGUCUGGUGGGCGAGCGGCAUGGUGACGACUAUGCGGUGGGAGGCAAGAAGGUGGUUGCCCAGUGGGUUGGGAAAGAUGAAGUGGGGCUUUGCGGUUGGCACGAGCUGGCCGUUUUACAUCUGUAUUUACAUCUGCAAUGGUUGGUGA
rnacentral:rRNA from 1 species